rnacentral:sRNA from 1 species
AACCUUAUGUUGGUUAAUGCUACACCAACAUGAAAGGCCUAAUCUUCUGGAGUAAAACAUGAGCGAUAAAAUUAUUCACCUGACUGAC